GGGGUUUCUUUGUGAGCUUUGAGGCAUGGUGUGAUGGAAUGAAAAAUCCCACUUGGUGCUGGAAGAGAGCGAGGGCUGCAGUGUGAGAUUUCAGACUUGCUGCGUCCUUCCUGGUCUUUGUUUUAGGAGAGAGCUGACAUUGUUUACUGGAGAUGGCAGCAGAAAAGAAAUGAGGAGAACUGUAACCGCAUCGAGCUCUCCGCCGCUGAUACAAGAUAAAGGAGUCAAAUCGUGUGUGGUUUCCUUCAGACCAAGCUUGUGGUGCAGAGUUUCAUGAAUGAUGUUGUCCAAAGUCAAAAUAAUCUGGUUUGCCCAAAGGUAUUUCUAUGAGGACUGUAAGGCUGCAGAUCUCUACAGAAUGAGAGAAGAGGUCCAUUUGUCCUUAGCACCGUGCUCAGCCUUGGCCCAGUGCACAUGGAGGAUAAAUGCCCUAGGAAUUAAUAGACACUCGGUUGAUCUAUAGUGGCUAGUAGGGCAAUCCAGCUUUAAAAGGGGCAGGUUUUGUGUUAUCAUCAUUCCUAAUUCAUACUCACUGUCUCAGCUGCUCUCUGCACUGAUGGGGAUUUUUUGUCCCACUGCUGUGUCCGAGCGGUGCCACUGAUGGCUCAGGGACACGGGGCUGUCCAGCUUCAUGCAGCCCAACAGCCGAGCCCUGCUGAGGCCCUGGUGCUGGCUGAUGGAGAAAAUAAAGAGCAGCUGCUUGUUUCUUUUCAAGAGUAUCAGAAAAACAAGAAGACAGUUCACUCCCAGUGUGCGCCAAAGGCUUCUUCAUCCUUUUCACUUUCACCCACACAAAUGGCAAUCAUUCCUCUCUGCAUUUCUCUUUGGAGCUUUUCCAGUGUAUUGCACUGAUGGUCUUCCCUUGCUGUAGACCACUCUAAAAGCAGUGAAGGAGCUGUGCCUCCCAAGAAAAAGAGGUGAAGAAUCGCAGCCCCAGCCUCCUCCCUGCACCGAGGUGCUUCAUGCACAGCGCUCUGCAGCCUCCCAGAGCCCUGCAGAAGGCUUGGUUUGCUCACCCGAAAUAGGACGCCUCGCCCUCCCGCUGAGCACAGCACAGCCAUGGUCCACACGCUGCCUUCGUAGGAAGCACUGAUACCAACCGGUCCCUGCAUUACUGCAGCCAGGUUUGCAGUGUUCCACCAAAAGCCACCCUUUGCUUGGCCAUGCCCCAUUCCUCAAUUGUGGUUGGGUUUGUCCUGAGUCCUUCAGGCUCUGCUUUGUAGGGCUGCAUGUGGUGCAGAAACCAGCUCUGCAAAUAAGCUCACAUCACUGCAGUGUCCUCCAUGUC
rnacentral:lncRNA from 7 species